rnacentral:rRNA from 1 species
ACGUAGGGGGCAAGCGUUGUCCGGAUUCAUUGGGCGUAAAGGGCUCGUAGGCGGCUCUCUAAGUCGGAUGUGAAAACUCUGGGCUCAACCCAGAGCCUGCAUCCGAAACUGGAGGGCUAGGGUUCUGGAGGGGAAAGCGGAAUUCCUGGUGUAGCGGGGAAAUGCGUAGAUAUCAGGAGGAAAACCGGUGGCGAAGGCGGCUUUCUGGACAGAAACCGACGCU